AUUGAACGCUGGCGGCAUGCCUUACACAUGCAAGUCGAACGGUAACAGGUUAAGCUGACGAGUGGCGAACGGGUGAGUAAUGUAUCGGAACGUGCCCAGUCGUGGGGGAUAACGUAGCGAAAGCUACGCUAAUACCGCAUACGAUCUAUGGAUGAAAGCGGGGGAUCGCAAGACCUCGCGCGAUUGGAGCGGCCGAUAUCAGAUUAGGUAGUUGGUGGGGUAAAGGCCUACCAAGCCGACGAUCUGUAGCUGGUCUGAGAGGACGACCAGCCACACUGGGACUGAGACACGGCCCAGACUCCUACGGGAGGCAGCAGUGGGGGAAUUUUGGACAAUGGGCGCAAGCCUGAUCCAGCAAUGCCGCGUGCAGGAUGAAGGCCUUGGGUUGUAACUAGCUUUGUACGGUAACGAAAC
rnacentral:rRNA from 1 species